GAACGUCUCCGGUCCUGGUCCACGGGUCCCUUCUAUCCUGCUACGGAAGAGAACCCUAGUUAGCGGUGGCCACCUGCUUAUCCCUCUCUUCGUCCAUCAUCUCUCUCGAUCUUUCCUGGCCCUUCCAUCCGGAUUCCGGACCUCUUCCCAGGGCUAGGGUUUCGGAUUUCCGUACUAGUUAUAUCCUUUUUCUUUUGUUCAUGGGAGGACUGAGAUGCCGAGGCCGGAGCUCCGGGCUCCGUCGGAGAUCACCGACGGCGACUCCGAUGCUCGCAAGCACCCGGCUGCCUUUCUUGCGAUGUCGCAUUGGAGCAUGAAGGAUGGCAAUCUUAUACUUGCUGAUAUUGAUGAGGAAAAGAGGUAGAUAGCAAAGUGCAAUAAGGACAUGCAUUGUUCAAUACGAGAGAUUGGCAUGAAACAGAAAGGAAGAGAAUGAUAUUGGAGAAUAAAUAGUCGAGAAGAAAAAGGCAUGACAUACCUCAUAGGACCAGGUGCACAGCAUUCAAAGGGAAGGCUUACUGUUAUCUGCUGCCUUUUAGCAAGGAAAAAAAAAGAAAAGAUCCCAAUUUCUGAACCUCUUGGAUCAAUAUUCCUCUGUCCAAUCUUCCUUUUAUCUGGGGGAGAGGCAGGAGGAAGUUGUUAGAUGCAUGUGUAUGCAUAAUUGCAUUUACAUAUCCACAUGAGUAAAUAAGACACAUUUACAUGUGCUGGUACAUUCUUGUGUACUUAGCGAUGUACGUGGAAACAUGCUAUUGUUCAUGAACAUACACAUCUAUGCUUGUGUACCUUUCUUUUGGUUUUCUGAUAUAUGGGAUCCUAUUAUGUACUGGCAUAUCCGGUUCUCGAUAUCCCAAGUUUAUAGUUUUCAUCCCUUGCAAGAGGGAAAAAAAAAAAUUCUAUGGUUCUUAUGAUGCUGAUGCAUGUAUGUGUUUUUUUUUUUUUAAAAGAGAGGAGAUUUCAAUACAUGAAUGUUUAUCCAAACAUAUUAGUUUUUAAAAUUUUUAAUUUUAAGUUUGUCAUCACCAAUUGUUUAGCUAUACAUUGGACCCUUUGCGUACCACUACUAUUUUUUGUAAUCACAAGCCUAAUAAACUCAAAGGAUUUUCGAGAAAUGACUGGUUUUGUGGUUAGAGUUUGGUAAUCUCUGUUAACACACCGGCUAAUGGUUUUCUCCCUUCCAAAAUUCUAAAAUAACAGCUAUCUUAUUUUGUUUGUUGUGUUUUUAUGUUGAGUUUGUCCUAUAGUUAUAUACCAGAGAAGCAUCGUAAUUAUGCAAUCGUGUUAUGCAGUCACAUGUUUCGGGUUACUUCCAGCAUUCUACUGAAUUUAUACAGAGCACUAUAACUCUGUAUUCUGAAAAUAGGCUUCAUUUAUGUUUUUCGUGAAGUGGCUGGUUUUGGUGCCUCACAAGUCACAAAAUGCUAGGUGACUGACCAUAUACGAGUAGUAGUGUCAAAAUGCAUUGGUGCUACAUUGUUAUGAGCAAAGAAUUCUGUAUCCAUCCGAACCGGAUGGUACAUCUUAUAUCGAGCCGGACCGGUGGGGAAUCGAGAUUGUUCGGAUGGAAAAAAUGGUAUACCGGAGAAGGGAGAGAAAAAGAGAGGGAAAGAAAGGAAGAGAGAGAGAGGAGGAGAGGUAGAGACGUAAUCGGAGAUCAACGGUGGCUCGCUGUGGAUUAUCGCUCGAUAAGAUUUUUAAACGAGUAAGAAAGAGAAAGAGGGGGAGUGAUGUAUCGGAGGAAGGUGCAACCGAUGGAGGGGCUGUUGGAGUUUGCUGGGGGGGUUGUUGGAGUUUCCUGGGUGGCCGCUGGAGUUUGUCGGGUGGCCGCCAUAGCCACUGGGCUGCGGAACUUGUGCGAAUGGAGCCACAGCUGCGGAACAGGGACGACAGUUCUUGUUUUUUAAUCAUAUUUUUUAAAAAAUGAUGAUGAAUAGUGAAGCUAGUAAUCGAUUUGCUGGUUUUAUUUUUUGAAUUAUUUUUAAAAAAAUCGAAAAUAGUGAAGUCGGCAAAUCAAUUGCGAGCUUUAUAUUUUUUUGGAUUUAAAAAAAAAAUGCUCGUGAAAUAGGGGCAUUGUCUUUGUUUCACGUCUGUAGCAUCGCAUGCGUGGAGUGCACUGUCUGAUGGCCUCUCUGAUUGCUUUUCCUCCCUCUGUCUCUUUCUUUCUCCUUCUCUCUCUAUUUUUCUCUCUUUCUUUUUUUUUCUCCUUUCGGUUUGUUUGUUUUGCCUGUGUCAGUUUGUGCCGGUCCAAUCUAGUAUAGAUUCAUAUCGGUAUCGAGUCUACGAAUUUUGGUUACAGGUCUCCAACAGCAGCUAGAUGCUUAUUGGUUCUGGUAGGUACAUAUCAGCUGGACUUUCAGAUUUAUUAUAAGUACUACAUUUGAGUACAUAAGUUAAUAUCCCUGGUAGAGUUUCAUGACAAAUCAUCAUGGAUGGUCUCAAGGGUGAUUUAUUUGUAUGAGAAAUUUUUUGUGCACUGCAGGUAACGUAGAAAAUCCGAUGUGGAUUUAAUACUUAUAGAUCGAUUUUUUCAUUUAAAAAUUUUAUAUGACGAAAAUAUCGUUAUUUUUUGAAAAAAAUUAUGAUAUCCGAUGGCAUAAUACAAUCUACAAUGUAAUAAUAUGGUCUGAGAUAUUAUAAUAUAAGAGAUAUUUUUGUCUAAUUAUUUUUUAAUGCACAUUUAAUGUUUGCAUAUUGUCUUUUUUGUUUGAAAAUUUUGAAUGAUAAAAAUGCUCCAAUUUUUU